rnacentral:rRNA from 1 species
AUCAGGAUUCAGACUGCUUCUUGCCAAUGUUGACUGAGCUCAGAAAUGAAGAAGAGGAAGGCCUGGUAAGUAUGGGAAUAGGAAGCUACCUAAGAAUACCAGGUGUUGUAGGCU